rnacentral:rRNA from 1 species
CCCGCUGAACUUAAGCAUAUCAUUAAGCGGAGGAAAAGAAACUUACAAGGAUUCCCUCAGUAGCGGCGAGUGAACAGGGAAAAGCUCAAACUGAAAAUCAUUAAUUUGAAUUGUAGUCUUCAAAAGUAUCUCGUUGGUAACUUGGGCAGCUUACGUCCUUUGGAAAAAGGCCGGUAGAGAAGGUGAUACCCCUUGUCAAGCUGUUUGGAGAAACCGUUCGAGCGCUUUUAUCGAGUCGCGUUCCUUGUGAUUGGAUCGCAAAAUUGGUGGUAAACUUCAUCAAAAGCUAAAUAUCUAUGAGAGACUGAUAGAGGAAAAGUACCGCGAGGGAAAGGUGAAAUAGUACUUUGAGAAGAGAGUUAAAAGGAACUGAAACUGUUGUGAUUGAAGUGAAAGUCUUGAAAAAGUAUACGUUGUUGUUUAGUCGGCCAUUGCGGUCGUAAUUGAGCAGCAACUGAGUUGGACGCACUCUGAACACUGGUCAUCAGGUGUGCAUUUGCAGCAAUGCAACUGUACGCUUUAUGCCCGGGUCGGGCUGUUUAUAGGCGCCGUUCAUUUAUGUGCGGCGUUUAGUCCAAGAUUCAAAGAUUUUCGUCCCGUCUUGAAACACGG